rnacentral:rRNA from 1 species
UCGGUGACAGUGGUGCAUGGUUAUCGUCAGCUCGUGUCGUGAGAUGUUGGGUUAAGUCCCGCAACGAGCGCAACCCCUAUUGUUAGUUGCCAUCAUUCAGUUGGGCACUCUAGCGAGACUGCCGGUAAUAAACCGGAGGAAGGUGGGGAUGACGUCAAAUCAUCAUGCCCCUUAUGACCUGGGCUACACACGUGCUACAAUGGUUGGUACAACGAGUUGCGAGUCGGUGACGGCGAGCUAAUCUCUUAAAGCCAAUCUCAGUUCGGAUUGUAGGCUGCAACUCGCCUACAUGAAGUCGGAAUCGCUAGUAAUCGCGGAUCAGCACGCCGCGGUGAAUACGUUCCCGGGCCUU